CCCUUAGAUGUUCUGGGCUGCACGCGCGCUACACUGAUGCGCUCAACGAGUUUUGACCUUGCCCGGAAGGGUUGGGUAAUCUUCUUAAAACGCAUCGUGAUGGGGAUAGAUUAUUGCAAUUAUUAAUCUUCAACGAGGAAUUCCUAGUAAGCGCGAGUCAUCAGCUCGUGCUGAUUACGUCCCUGCCCUUUGUACACACCGCCCGUCGCUCCUACCGAUUGAAUGGUCCGGUGAAAUCUCGGGACGGCGGCUUGGUCGCUUGCGUCCGACUGCUGAAACUUGAUUAAACCAUAUCAUUUAGAGGAAGGUGAAGUCGUAACA
rnacentral:rRNA from 1 species